CAGGUACACCUGCCUUCCCCCUGCCCUACACACAGGUACACCUGCCUUCCCCCUGCCCUACGCCCAGGUACACCUGCAUAGCGCUCUAUACACAGGUACACCUGCCUUCCCCCUGCCCUACG